rfam:TPA: Bos taurus chromosome 29, whole genome shotgun sequence.
UCCCUGGUGGUCCAGUGGUUAGGACUCUGUGCUUCCACUGCAGGGAGCCCAGGUUAGAACCCUGGUCAGGGAA